AUACGGAGGGUGCGAGCGUUAAUCGGAAUUACUGGGCGUAAAGCGCGCGUAGGCGGUUCGAUAAGUCUGAUGUGAAAGCCCUGGGCUUAACCUGGGAAUGGCAUUGGAUACUGUUGAACUAGAGUGCGGGAGAGGAGAGUGGAAUUCUCGGUGUAGCGGUGAAAUGCGUAGAUAUCGGGAGGAACACCAGUGGCGAAGGCGGCUCUCUGGACUGACACUGACGCUGAGGUGCGAAAGCGCGGGUAGCAAACAGGAUUAGAAACCCCUGUAGUCC
rnacentral:rRNA from 1 species